rnacentral:rRNA from 1 species
CCCAGACUCCUACGGGAGGCAGCAGUGGGGAAUAUUGCACAAUGGGGGAAACCCUGAUGCAGCGACGCCGCGUGAAGGAAGAAGUAUUUCGGUAUGUAAAGCUCUAUCAGCAGGGAAGAGAAUGACGGUACCUGACUAAGAAGCCCCGGCUAACUACGUGCCAGCAGCCGCGGUAAUACGUAGGGGGCGAGCGUUAUCCGGAUUUACUGGGUGUAAAGGGAGCGUAGACGGCUGGUCAAGUCUGAAGUGAAAGCCCGGGGCUUAACCCCGGAACGGCUUUGGAAACUGAGCAGCUAGAGUGCUGGAGAGGUAAGCGGAAUUCCUAGUGUAGCGGUGAAAUGCGUAGAUAUUAGGAGGAACACCAGUGGCGAAGGCGGCUUACUGGACAGUGACUGACGUUGAGGCUCGAAAGCGUGGGGAGCAAACAGGAUUAGAUACCCCAGUAAGU